UUCCGGUUGAUCCUGCCGGAAGCCAUUGCUAUCGGGGUCCGAUUUAGCCAUGCUAGUUGUGCGGGUUUAGGCCCGCAGCAAAUAGCUCCGUAACACGUGGCCAAACUGCCCUAUGGAGAGAAAUAACCUCGGGAAACUGAGGCUAAUGUCUCAUACGGCUUCGACGCUGGAAUGCCCGAAGCCCGAAACGCUCUGGUGCCAUAGGAUGUGGCUGCGGCCGAUUAGGUAGACGGUGGGGUAACGGCCCACCGUGCCGAUAAUCGGUACGGGUUGUGAGAGCAAGAGCCCGGAGACGGAAUCUGAGACAAGAUUCCGGGCCCUACGGGGCGCAGCAGGCGCGAAACCUUUACACUGCACGCCAGUGCGAUAAGGGGAUCCCGAGUGCGCAGGCAUAGAGCCUGCGCUUUUCUGAACUGUAGGGAGGUUCAGGAAGAAGAGCUGGGCAAGACCGGUGCCAGCCGCCGCGGUAAUACCGGCAGCUCGAGUGAUGGCCGAUCUUAUUGGGCCUAAAGCGUCCGUAGCUGGCCUGGCAAGUCCGUCGGGAAAUCCACCCGCUCAACGGGUGGGCGUCCGGCGGAAACUGCGAGGCUUGGGACCGGGAGGCUUGAAGGGUACGUCCGGGGUAGGAGUGAAAUCCCGUAAUCCUGGACGGACCGCCGAUGGGGAAACCACUUCAAGAGAACGGAUCCGACAGUGAGGGACGAAAGCUAGGGUCUCGAACCGGAUUAGAUACCCGGGUAGUCCUAGCCGUAAACGAUGCCUGUUAGGUGUGACUCCCACUACGAGUGGGUGUUGUGCCGUAGGGAAGCCGCUAAACAGGCCGCCUGGGAAGUACGUCUGCAAGGAUGAAACUUAAAGGAAUUGGCGGGGGAGCA
rnacentral:rRNA from 1 species